rnacentral:rRNA from 1 species
AGCUCACUGGACUGCAACUGACACUGAUGCUCGAAAGUGUGGGUAUCAAACAGGAUUAGAUACCCUGGUAGUCCACACAGUAAACGAUGAAUACUCGCUGUUUGCGAUAUACAGUAAGCGGCCAAGCGAAAGCAUUAAGUAUUCCACCUGGGGAGUACGCCGGCAACGGUGAAACUCAAAGGAAUUGACGGGGGCCCGCACAAGCGGAGG